rnacentral:rRNA from 1 species
GACGAACGCUGGCGGCGCGCUUAACACAUGCAAGUCGAACGGAAAGGCCUGCUUUCCCUUGUGGAUUGCGGGUACUCGAGUGGCGAACGGGUGAGUAACACGUGAGUGAUCUGCCCCCAACUUGGGUAUAAGCCUGGGAAACUGGGUCUAAUUCCCGAUAGGACUGCAGGGUGGUGCCUGUGGUGGAAAACGAUUUUCUAGUGGUUGGGGAUGAGCUCGCGGCCUAUCAGCUUGUUGGUGGGGUAAUGGCCUACCAAGGCGGCGACGGGUAGCCGGCCUGAGAGGGUGGACGGCCACAUUGGGACUGAGAUACGGCCCAGACUCCUACGGGAGGCAGCAGUGGGGAAGAUUGCACAAUGGGCGGAAGCCUGAUGCAGCGACGCCGCGUGGGGGAUGACGGCCUUCGGGUUGUAAACUCCUUUCGACCGCGAGGAAGCCACCUGGUUGGAAGGGUGGUGACGGUAGUGGUAGAAGAAGCACCGGCUAACUACGC